rnacentral:rRNA from 1 species
GAUUGAAUCGUGAAACCGCGAAUGGCUCGUUAUAACAGCUAUAAUUUACUUGAUCUUGAGACAAUCCUACUUGGAUAACUGUGGUAAUUCUAGAGCUAAUACAUGCAUUAAAGCUCCGACCUUACGGGAAGAGUGCAUUUAUUAGAAAAAAACCAAGCGGCUUCGGCUGUUUUCGGUUGACUCACAAUAACUGAGCUGAUCGCAUGGUCUUGCACCGGCGACGUGUCUUUCAAGUAUCUGCCGUAUCAACUUUCGAUGGUAGUGUAUCUGACUACCAUGGUGAUAACGCGUAACGGAGAAUAAGGGUUCGGCUCCGGAGAGUUCGCCUGAGAAAUCGCGAACACAUCUAAGGAAGGCAGCAGGCGCGAAAAUUACCCACUCUCAGAACGAGGAGGUAGUGACGAAAAAUAACGAGACCGUUCUCUUACGAGGCCGGUCAUCGGAAUGGGUACAAUUUAAACCCUUUAACGAGUAUCUAUGAGAGGGCAAGUCUGGUGCCAGCAGCCGCGGUAAUUCCAGCUCUCAAAGUGCAUAGAAUUAUUGCUGCGGUUAAAAAGCUCGUAGUUGGAUCUGUGCCAUAGGACUGUGUCGACCUUCGGGUCCGUACAUGGCUUCUUGGCUUUUUGCCGGUUUUCCCGUCAUAGCCUUGACUGGUCGUGGCGGGUGGCUGGCGAGUUUACCUUGAGAAAAUCAGGGUGCUCAAAACAGGCGUUUGGCUUGAAUGAUUGUGCAUGGAAUAAUGGAAAAGGAUUUCGGUUCUCUUUUAUUGGUUUUGUGGACUGAAAUAAUGGUUAAGAGGGACAAACGGGGGCAUUCGUAUCGCUGCGUGAGAGGUGAAAUUCUUGGACCGUAGCGAGACGCCCUACUGCGAAAGCAUUUGCCAAGAAUG